AGUGAACGCUGGCGGUAGGCCUAACACAUGCAAGUCGAACGGCAGCACAGUAAGAGCUUGCUCUUACGGGUGGCGAGUGGCGGACGGGUGAGGAAUACAUCGGAAUCUACUUUUUCGUGGGGGAUAACGUAGGGAAACUUACGCUAAUACCUCAUACGACCUACGGGUGAAAGCAGGGGAUCUUCGGACCUUGCGCGAUUGAAUGAGCCGAUUUCGGAUUAGCUAGUUGGCGGGGUAAAGGCCCACCAAGGCGACGAUCCGUAGCUGGUCUGAGAGGAUGAUCAGCCACACUGGAACUGAGACACGGUCCAGACUCCUACGGGAGGCAGCAGUGGGGAAUAUUGGACAAUGGGCGCAAGCCUGAUCCAGCCAUACCGCGUGGGUGAAGAAGGCCUUCGGGUUGUAAAGCCCUUUUGUUGGGAAAGAAAAGCAGCAGGUUAAUACCCCGCUGUUCUGACGGUACCCAAAGAAUAAGCACCGGCUAACUUCGUG
rnacentral:rRNA from 1 species